UCCCUGAUGGUCCAGUGGCUAAGACUCUGCAUUCCCAAAGCAGGGGGCCCGGGUUCAAUCCCUGCUCAGGGAA
rnacentral:tRNA from 1 species